GUUUUAGUAAUUUAAUAAAAAUAUUGGUCUUGUAAAUCAAAUUUAAGAAAUAUUCUUCUAAAACU
rnacentral:tRNA from 1 species